CCUACGGGAGGCAGCAGUAGGGAAUAUUGCUCAAUGGGGGAAACCCUGAACCAGCAACGCCGCGUGGAGGAUGAAGGUUUUCGGAUUGUAAACUUCUUUUGUUAGAGAAGAUAAUGACGGUCUCUAACGAAUAAGCACCGGCCAAAUCCGUGCCAGAAGCCGCGGUAAUACGGAGCGGGCACGCGUUACACGGAAUCACUGGGCGUAAAGAGCGCGUAGGCGGGAUAGCAAGUCAGAUGUGAAAUCCUAUGGCUAAACCGUAGAGCUGCAUUUGAAACUGUUAGUCUAGAGUGUGGGAGAGGUGGGUGGAAUUCUUGGUGUAGGGGUGAAAUGCGUAGAUAUCAGGAGGAAUACUCAUUGCGAAGGCGACCCGCUAGUACGUAACUGACGCUGAUGCGCGAAAGCGUGGGGAGCAAACAGGAUUAGAUACCCGUGUAGUC
rnacentral:rRNA from 1 species